GCUUUCGUGGUGUAGCGGUAACAUUGGGUCUUCCCAUGGCCUAGCUCCGGGUUCGACUCCCGGCGGACGCA